rnacentral:snRNA from 1 species
UGCUUUGCACAAUGGCAGUAUCAUAGCCAAUGAAGUUUAUCUGAGGUGCAAUUAUUGCUAAUUGAAAACGUUUCCCANUACCCCGCCAUAAUGACUUGAAAUAUAGUCAGCACUGGCAAAUUUUGACAGUCCCUACGGU